UGGGUUGUGGCUCAGCGGUAGAGCACUCAUCUAGCAUGUGCGAGGCCUUGGGUUCAAUCCUCAGCACCACAU
rnacentral:tRNA from 1 species